rnacentral:piRNA from 1 species
AAACAAUCAAUGAAACUCCACUAAGAC